AUUGAACGCUGGCGGCAGGCCUAACACAUGCAAGUCGAGCGGAUGAUGGGAGCUUGCUCCUGGAUUCAGCGGCGGACGGGUGAGUAAUGCCUAGGAAUCUGCCAGGUAGUGGGGGACCACGUUUCGAAAGGAACGCUAAUACCGCAUACGUCCUACGGGAGAAAGCAGGGGACCUUCGGGCCUUGCGCUAUCAGAUGAGCCUAGGUCGGAUUAGCUUGUUGGUGAGGUAAUGGCUCACCAAGGCGACGAUCCGUAACUGGUCUGAGAGGAUGAUCAGUCACACUGGAACUGAGACACGGUCCAGACUCCUACGGGAGGAAGCAGUGGGGAAUAUUGGACAAUGGGCGAAAGCCUGAUCCAGCCAUGCCGCGUGUGUGAAGAAGGUCUUCGGAUUGUAAAGCACUUUAAGUUGGGAGGAAGGGUUGUAGAUUAAUACUCUGCAAUUCUGACGUUACCGACAGAAUAAGCACCGGCUAACUCUGUGCCAGCCGCCGCAGUAAUAC
rnacentral:rRNA from 1 species